rnacentral:rRNA from 1 species
AGGAAAAGAAACUAACUAGGAUUCCCCCAGUAACUGCGAGUGAAGAGGGAAGAGCUCAUCAUUGGAAUCUGGCAGUGUUACACUGUCCGAGUUGUAGAUGAGGAGUAGUCCGUCUGGACUGCAUGGCGUCCAAGUACAAUAGGCCGUCAGUGGGACAUCAUAGAGGGUGACAAUCCCGUCCUUGACGCCAAUGUGCAAGUCUAUUACGAUGGCUAUCUCAGAGAGUCGAGCAGUUUGGGAUUUGCUGCUUAAACAUGGGAGGUAGAUUCCUUCUAAAGCUAAAUACAGGCGAGAGACCGAUAGAGAACAAGUACCGCAAGGGAAAGAUGAAAUAGCACUCUGUGAAGGGAGUCAAAAGGCGUGAAAUUGUUGCGAGAGAAGCGAUUCAAGUCAGCGUAGCUAGGCCCAUCAAGCGUCUUCGCUUUGGACUAGCUUUGCCAGCGGUCUUGUCCCUUAAAGAGACUUGACUUGUAAUAUGUCCAGCCUGGCGUGCACAGGCAGCCCCUUCUGGGGGCCAGUGGCAUGGCUGGUGGAAUGGCUUGCAAUCGACCCGUCUUGAAACACGGACC